rnacentral:rRNA from 1 species
CCUACGGGAGGCAGCAGUAGGGAAUCUUCCACAAUGGGCGAAAGCCUGAUGGAGCAACGCCGCGUGGGUGAAGAAGGUCUUCGGAUCGUAAAACCCUGUUGUUAGAGAAGAAAGUGCGUGAGAGUAACUGUUCACGUUUCGACGGUAUCUAACCAGAACGCCACGGCUAACUACGUGCCAGCAGCCGCGGUAAUACGUAGGUGGCAAGCGUUAUCCGGUUUUAUUGGGCGUAAGGGGUGCUCAGGCGGUCUGUUAAGUCAGCGGUCAAGGCCCGGGGCUCAACCCCGGCCCGCCGUUGAAACUGGCAGUCUUGAGUUGGAGAGAAGUAUGCGGAAUGCGCGGUGUAGCGGUGAAAUGCAUAGAUAUCGCGCAGAACUCCGAUUGCGAAGGCAGCAUGCCGGCUCCACACUGACGCUGAGGCACGAAAGCGUGGGUAUCGAACAGGAUUAGAUACCCGUGUAGUC